UACGAAGGGGGCUAGCGUUGUUCGGAAUUACUGGGCGUAAAGCGCGUGUAGGCGGGUCUUUAAGUCAGGGGUGAAAUGCCAAGGCUCAACCUUGGAACUGCCUUUGAUACUGGAGACCUUGAGUCCGGGAGAGGUGAGUGGAAUUGCGAGUGUAGAGGUGAAAUUCGUAGAUAUUCGCAAGAACACCAGUGGCGAAGGCGGCUCACUGGCCCGGAACUGACGCUGAGACGCGAAAGCGUGGGGAGCAAACAGG
rnacentral:ncRNA from 2 species